rnacentral:rRNA from 1 species
AGUGAACGCUGGCGGUAGGCCUAACACAUGCAAGUCGAACGGCAGCACAGUAAGAGCUUGCUCUUACGGGUGGCGAGUGGCGGACGGGUGAGGAAUACAUCGGAAUCUACUUUUUCGUGGGGGAUAACGUAGGGAAGCUUACGCUAAUACCGCAUACGACCUACGGGUGAAAGCAGGGGAUCUUCGGACCUUGCGCGAUUGAAUGAGCCGAUGUCGGAUUAGCUAGUUGGCGGGGUAAAGGCCCACCAAGGCGACGAUCCGUAGCUGGUCUGAGAGGAUGAUCAGCCACACUGGAACUGGGACACGGUCCAGACUCCUACGGGAGGCAGCAGUGGGGAAUAUUGGACAAUGGGCGCAAGCCUGAUCCAGCCAUACCGCGUGGGUGAAGAAGGCCUUCGGGUUGUAAAGCCCUUUUGUUGGGAAAGAAAAGCAGCAGGUUAAUACCCCGCUGUUCUGACGGUACCCAAAGAAUAAGCACCGGCUAACUUCG